AUACUCUCAUUUCUCUUCAGAUUGUAUAAAUCUUUUGCCUUUUACUAAAGAUUUCCGUGGAGAGGAACAUUUAUGAGUUUUUCGUCAAUUCACUGUUUUCUGUUCUAUUGAAAAAG